AUGUUAAUUAAUGGGAGAUUGGAUAUGAAGACCGAAACACUUAAAUUAAAACAGUUAUACUAACUCUAUGUUUCUCAUAUUUCGAAAUAUUGAACUUAAAAUACAUUGUAGUUAAGUUUUAUAUGCUUAGGUAUCUUAAAUUAAAAAGAUUAGUAAUCUAGAUAGCUGGUUUUUAUCACUUUUUACGACCGGAUGACUACGUUUUCAUAAUGUCUGUUGGAUGUAGUGGCUGCUGCUCAGCACUUCGUCCCCGUUACAAACGUCUUGUGGAUAACAUCUUCCCAGCAAAUCCCCAGGAUGGACUGGUUCGUAAUAACAUGGAAAAGCUCACUUUCUAUGCACUCUCAUCUCCUGAGAAGCUAGACAGGAUUGGAGAAUACUUAGCUCAGCGAGUUGCAAGGGACAUUUCUAGGCACAGAAAUGGAUAUGUGGUCAUUGCCAUGGAAGCCAUGGAUCAGCUCCUUGUGGCUUGCCAUGCUCAGAGCCUCAACUUGUUUGUGGAAAGUUUUCUGAAGAUGAUUCAUGGGUUGUUGGAAAGUCAUGAGCCAACCAUGCAGCUUUUGGCAACAUCUUCUUUUGUGAAGUUUGCCAACAUUGAAGAAGACACACCCUCGUACCAUCGACGAUAUGACUUCUUUGUUUCAAAAUUCUCAUCUCUCUGUCACAACAACCACAGUGAUCCAGAGACAAGAAACAAAUUGCGUGUUGCUGGACUGAAAGGGUUGCAAGGUGUAGUGAGAAAAACUGUCAGUGAUGACCUUCAAGUGAAUAUCUGGGAUGAGAUACACAUGGAAAAGAUAAUACCCUCUUUAUUGUUUAACAUGCAGGAAAAUUAUGAGACCCCUGAUUCCCCACAAGAUGAGACCACACCAUGGACAUUGGCUGAAAACUGUCUACGAGAACUGAUGAGCCGGGCUACUUUUGGUCAUAUCCGAUCUGUGAUACGCCCUGUUCUUAAGCAUUUGGAUAAUCAUGAACUUUGGGUAAAAGAAAGUGCAAUCCACAUGUUUAAGGUUAUCAUGUAUUCUAUUCAGGCACAGUAUUCCUAUGCUGUCAUUCAGCUUCUUAUGAGUCACCUAGAUGAAAAGUCUAGAGUGGAUGAUUCAGGACAGAGAAAACCUAGUGCUCGUCCACGUGCCGAUGCUAAAGUACGCCGAGGCAUUGUCACCGUCCUCUCAAACAUUGUUGCUAUAGCAGCUGGAGAGAGUAUUGGCCCAUCAGUGCUUGAAAUUUUUAACUCUCUUCUAAAUCAUCUUCGAAACUCUAUAGAUGUCAAGAAUACAACGCCUGCUGACCAUGAGAAUGAAACACUUCUCCAAGAAGCUGUGAUCAACACAUUAGGUGUGUUUGCCAACAAUUUACCUGACUACCAGAAAAUAGAAAUCAUGAUGUUCAUCAUGGGAAAAGUUCCGUUAUCAGGAGAAGAAUCUCGCAACACAGAUGUUCUAUUACAACAUAUUCUGUUAAAAAGUUUGUUGGAGGUUGGUACUAAAUAUCGAACUGUACAGAUGGCUCAAGCUUUUCCAUCUGCAUUUCUUCAACCUCUGCUAGACAUGUCAUUAGCUACUGAUCCAGCAGUUCGACUUGUUGUUCAACAGAUUUUUCACACUUUAUUAGAUCGUCAUGAGAACUUACCAAAACUUCAAAAAACAAGUGUGGAUGGUCCACUACCUCAAUUGACAGUAGACAAGUGUUCACGUCAGGACAUGAUGUUCAUAAAGAAGAAUGGUCCUGAGAUUAUGGUACACAUUUAUGAAAAUGUCCAGUUGACAAAUAACACGAAGGAUAAUUUUGAAGCACUUUAUGUUACUCUUGGAUUGUUGUGCAUUGAGUUGGGAAGUGAUUCUGAAGCUCUUAUUGAGUUAAUGAGGUUGAUAUUUGCAAUUCAGGACCUACCUAACACUACAAGUGCAAUGACAGCAUCCCAUCGAGCAUCAGUUCAUGCACUGGUGGCAUCUUUCUUGUAUGUGGUUGGCCAUCUAACAGCCAUUCCUUCCUUCUGUACUCAUAUUGAACAGAUUAUUAAGAAUCGUCGUGAGAGAGCUCGACAUCUUCUUCCCUGGGAAGACAACAAACAAGCUCUUAAUUCAUUGCCAGAGGUUACAGAUGACCUUUUAUUUGAUAAAACUGUAGUUGCUGAAGCUCUGCAGAGUAGCGGACAUGACACUUCACGUCUUCUGACCCCUUACAUGCCUCGUAAUCUAGUAUGGUAGAUUCAGAAGCAAGGUGCAACAGAGUGAUACAUCACAAUCAGAACAGUGUCUUCCCAAGAGAUGAAAUGGAGGCAGUGUUGUUCCUGGUCAUCCUGUUUUUGAAGGAGAAGUUAACGUAAACAGAAGUAUCAGUGACCUGAACUCAAUUAAUGUGGAAGUGGAUAGUAUUUCUUCCUCUCCAGGA
rnacentral:misc_RNA from 1 species